rnacentral:misc_RNA from 1 species
AAGUCGUAACAAGGUUUCCGUAGGUGAACCUGCGGAAGGAUCAUUCUUGAUAAUGUGUAGCUUAUGCUAUCACUAAAUAUGUGCACUGUUACCUGCCAUUUGGCGGCCGAAAGGUCGUCGCUGGCGCUGUUUUUAAUAUACCUAGCAACUUUUUGUACCAGUAAUCAUAAAAUCUUAUGACAACUUUUAGCAAUGGAUCUCUAGGCUCUC